ensembl:lncRNA
AUGACAUCCUCAGACCCCAUUUACUGCCUUUAUUUGGAAAACAAAAUGCAUAUUACAGGUCAUACAGUCAUAAAGGUUUGGGAUUGUAUAAGGGUGAGUAGAUGAUGACAAAAUAUUCAUUUUUGAGUUUAAUAUCCCUUUAAGAGCAACUUUAAGAGUUCACUAAAUUGUUGUCUUAUGUCCUUACUCCUUACCUUUGAGACGAAAAAGGCAGAAAUGUUUGACUGAACUCCACUGACCAUCUACAAAAACAAAGUAAUGUAAGUUUCACAGCUGAUAACAUUUACAUCUACAUAGCUAGAUGAGGGUGAAUAACAAAGCCUCAGAAAUGAAUCUGAAAUACUUACGGAAGAUUUGCUGGAUUUACACUUAAUCAUCGUGGACCGUAAGUGAAUAAAAUAACAUAACUAAAAACGAUUUUUCUUCGGAGAAUCCAAUAUCACAAAGCAGCUCUACGGGUAUCAAAUCUUAAAAAACCUCUCAUAUGACUGUGACAGCUGCAUAUAAACAUAGCCACUUCUAUUACGGCUCAAAUGUAAUUGGACGGAAGCAGAUAUUCUUCAGCAGCAUUUUCACAGAUGCUUUCUCAUAAGACUAAAUUUCGCGAGAGUAAACACUGCGAUCUCAAAAUCCCCGCGUACAGAAACGCUACAGCAGGAGAAAGCAAACGUUUCGUCGUUGUUUUUAGUCUGCUGCAUUUACAUCGCUGUUCCCGACACACUGCCACCUAGCGUCAGAGAGAUCAUUGGUCGAGUUUGUAGUUGAUACACAGUUUGAAAACAAAUCUGCCCGUCAUUGUUAACACUCAGUUAGCCUUCCGUCAUAUAUGUAUAAACGAAAAACGGGCAGUUCUAUCGUCAUUUUAUAUGUAACAGGAAAUAAUUUUGUAGUUACCAAGACAACAAACAAAAGCAAUGCUACAUUUUGCCGCAAAGUUUUGAAUACCAACAUAAGCACGAGCUACCACACACACUGUAGAAGGUCUGCUGACAUGGACGCUCCAGGAGAAGAAGAACUCAAAUGUCCUGUUUGUGUAGAGACCUUUACAGACCCUGUGCGCCUUCCAUGUGGGCACAACUUCUGGUCUGGAACAUGGAUGACCCAAAAACAUCCAGAGAAGGACCACUGUUCUGUCCGGAGUGUCAGAUACUCCUUUCUCCUGAUCUUGAGCUUGAGAUCAACUCGGGUCUUCAAAGAAAAGUUCAGGAUGUCUUUGCAAGAGCACAUUUGCUGGAAGAAUCAUCUCAGAUGUCAC